rnacentral:rRNA from 1 species
AACGAACGCUGGCGGCAGGCCUAACACAUGCAAGUCGAACGCUCCGCAAGGGGAGUGGCGCACGGGUGAGUAACACGUGGGAACCUACCUUCUGGUACGGAACAACCAAGGGAAACUUUGGCUAAGACCGUAUACGACCUCCGGGUGAAAGAUUGAUCGCCGGAAGAGGGGCCCGCGUCCGAUUAGGUAGUUGGUGAGGUAACGGCUCACCAAGCCUUCGAUCGGUAGCUGGUCUGAGAGGAUGACCAGCCACACUGGGACUGAGACACGGCCCAGACUCCUACGGGAGGCAGCAGUGGGGAACAUUGGACAAUGGGCGCAAGCCUGAUCCAGCCAUGCCGCGUGAGUGAUGAAGGCCU